CAAAAGUUGAUUACAGAAGAUCAGCCUUUUGUCAACUUUUCUGACCUUAAAUUUCCGCACUCAACUUGAGUAUUUUAUAAAGGUAAUGUAACUGCUUUUAUCGUUAAGUCAAGUGGCAUCUGUAUGUGUUGGAGAGUACCCUCCCUCUUUCCAUGUAAAUUAAGUGUUAGUCUCUGUAGUCUCAGUCUAAAAGUAGACAGGUUUGUACUUUGCAAAUCUAAAUGCUCAGUGUUUCUGCACACAUUCCAUGGAAAUAUUCAUUGAACAAGCAAAGGACUGGAGCUUUGAAUAGGGG